GCAAUAUGGCGGACUACUACAGUGACACCAUUUCUGAUUUACCAACAAUCGAGCAACGUGAUUGAACCAGACACAAACUUUAUAACAUGCUUUACAUGUGAAAAAUACAUUAUUGAGUUUAAAUCAAGGAAAUUUCGCUAAAUUUUGUAUGGCUGUUUCCUUCACCCUCAUCGAUCUUAAGUUUCCUGUUCAGCAGAGUUUUAGCUUAACACUGUCGCCGCUAAGACCAGCACUUGCAAAGGUAAGAUCUCAGGAGGCUUAGAAAAGACUACCAGCUAGAGGGUAUCUUCUCGUCAGUUCCUUGGUCAUGUACCUACCACUGCCUAUUUGAUAGCACAGCUCACAAGCUACGAGCAUCAAAUGACGAAUGAGCUGAAACUACAGUACCGUUCGCGUAUACGUUAACUGCGCAGACGAAUUUCAUACGCUCAGACGCAGGGUAGUCAGAC